GGCACGGUAGCUAGCAGCACCUUGUCGUCAUGGCGACUCUGGAUGUCUCUGACAGUACCACGUCUCUGGGCCAAGUCUCCCAGCACAGAGCUGAGAUCUAUGGCUUUACCUUGAGCAUGCAGCGGGACACGCAGGCAGAGACCAUGGCCGGAGAUGUUCCUGGCUCCACCCUGACACUUUGGAUCAGUGUAGUUACACCCUGUACUGGCUUUCUCUGCAAAGGUCGAUGAGUCACACGAACCGUCUGCAGAGGACGUGUCCGCAGCAGAGGCCUCAUGAAGGACAGUCUCCCUGUAGGCCACCUGCAGUGGUCCAAGGACAAUUGUGGCCCGCGAGUCAAAACUUUUGCCCACGUCUGGUAAAAUGACUGUACUGCUGUGGUCUUACCUGGCCAGAGUCGGGGUCAAUCCUCACUUUCAAACUGGGAUCUUCUCUCUGGAGGCAAUGAAGUGCAUUCUCGAGAUCUUUUAGAGGAAAAAAAAAACAACAAACUCUUCAGAGGCUGUGAAAGUUCCUGAGGAGAAGAAAGCUGCUGAGAAAAGACCACCA